AGUGACACUUAAUCACUGUAAGUGCAAGGUGCAGGGGUUGGGGAGGCUGUGGUCCUAGUGGACAAGAGCAGAGUCCUGCCUGGCAGUCUCUGCUUUGCCUUGUGCCUGCAGUGACUGGACAUCACCAGGCCUAUGGCAGUGCAGGGAGCCCAGUACACGAACUACUUACUAGUAUCUUAACGAUUGCUCUCUCUCCCAACUCCCAGUUCACUCCUGUCCAAAAAUCUUAUCACAGUGUUGCCUCUCAGGUUCAUGGAGAACAAAUUAUUGUGCUAUGUGGUGGAGUCUCGUUGUGGUUAGUGGAUUCCUGGGACAAAAGCACCUUUGUUUAUGAAACAAUUACUCAGCUCCUCCAGGUUGUUCAUGUGUUAAAAAAACAAGAGACAGCCUGUCAGUUAUCUGACUCAGAUUUUACUUGGGGUCCAGUUGCUGCCACCCAUGGAGCAUGUUCUCAAAUUGCAAGUCCCUCUUUAUGGCAUAGUUCCUUGUGCCACUAAAAAGGAUGCUUGAUAUUUCAGAGCAAAGAGAAAAAAUAUAAAACAGGAUGGUUCGUGCUGCUUAUUCUCAGUGGAGAUAGAGAUACAGAGGUAAACAAUUUUUCAGGUAAGUCUUGUACAUGUUCUCAUUUCAUACAUGGUAGUAUCCUUAAAAUAAAUAUUAGUUUCCCGCUAUCCA
rnacentral:lncRNA from 1 species